UAUAAAUGUAAUCGACUUUCGAUAUACUAUUUAAAAAUCUUAUCAAAGAAACUACCAAACUGCAGCCCACUGUUUUUCAAUCUUUUUGAUUUCGCGACCCCAUUUCAGGUUGAAAUAUUCUGGCGACCACCUUGUGUCAUAGUAAUAAAUUUUUCCUAUUUUGGCAAAUUUAUCUAUUAUUCGCGCGGGUCAUACUGCGUCGGCGACGGCGACGUUGCCACACCGCACGGCAUGAUUGUUCUUUGGUUUCAACUCUCAUCACUCAGUUAAGCGUAGUCGCCUUCAGCAUCUGGUACUAGUAUCAAUAGCGGUGGUGGUGAAUCGAAUCCGAAAAAAAAUAGGCAUUACGAUGACAGUUAUUUGAAAUACGGGUUCACAGUCAUAAAUAAUAAACCUCAAUGUGUAAUUUACGGCGAUGUUUUAUCACGUGAGAGUAUGAAACCGUCAAAGCUUAUGCGGCAUCUCACAACCAAGCAUCAAAAAGAAGCUGAUAAGCCGUUGGAUUUCUUUGAAUGAAAGUUGAAAGCUCUUAGUCAGCAGCAAAAUACUAUAAUUCAGGCAUCCAGUGUCAACGAGUCAACAUUAUUAGCUAGCUACAAAUUCACAUAUCGAGUUGCUGAAGCAGGGAAACCACAUACAAUUGCCGAAAUCUUAUUUUGCUAGCGGCACUCGAUAUGGUUGAAAUUAUGGUCAGUAAGCAGGAGGCAAACAAAUUAAGAAAAAUACCACUUUCUGACAAUAUUAUUUCACGCAGAAUAAACGAUAUGGCCAAGGAUAUUCAAGAACAAGUAGUUGAAAAAUUAAAAAAUAGCCAACAUUUUGCUUUGCAGUUCGAUGAAUCUACAGAUGUUUCCGACUGUGCACAGUUUUUAGUAUUUGUGCGCUUUGAAGCAGAUGACAGUAUUACGGAAGAAAUCUUAUUUCGCAAAGCACUUCCUGCAAACACUACUGGCCAGUGUUUGUACGAUAUGUUUUUAGAAAGCACUUGCCACUACGAUAUUGAUUGGAAAAAAUCUAUCGCUAUUUGUAGCGAUGGCGCUAAAGCUUUGACUGGCAAAAAUAACGGACUCAUUGCAAAAUUAAAAUCGAUAAUACCAAACAUAUCCUGGACACACUGUUUUCUUCAUCGACAGGCUCUAGCUGCUAAGGUAGUACCUUCUGAUUUACAUGACGUGCUGAAGGAGGAAAUAAAAAUUGUGAAUUCUAUCAAAGGUAAAGCUUUGCAAGCCGGGCUAUUCAGAAUCGUUUGUGAAGAUAUGGGCUCGCUUCAUCAAAAUCUCCUUUAUCACACAGAGGUCAGGUGGCUAUCCAAACGAAAGGUAUUGACAAGAGUUCUGUAACUGAGAGCUGAAUUGUUAAUGUUCUUACAAGAUGCAAAAUCAGAAUAUGCUUACCGUCCUUCUGACCCUAUUUGGCUCUUGAAAUUAGCAUUUUUGGCAGAUCUUUUUAGCCACCUUAACAAUUUGAACAAGAACCUUUAAGGAAGAGAAGAAAAUAUUUUAACAGCUAAAGAUAAAGUAAAAGCAUUUUACGCAAAACUUCGUUUAUGGUCGACCUCUCUGCAAAACAAAAUGUUUGAGUAUUUUCCGUGUGUUCAGAAGAUUGUUGAAGAUAAUGCAUCAGACCAAAGUUUUGCAGUAUCGGCUCAUAUUCCCUGCAUGAUACAAAGCUUGCAUAAUUUACAAGAGAAACUUUUGGCAUACUUUCCAGACUUGCACUCUGAAGCUGACAAUGGGCGUAGAUCAGCUGGCGACCCUCCGAGUAAGGCUUCGCGACCGCCUUAGGGCCAGAUUGAAAAACACUGUUCUAGCCUAUCUGUUUAAAAAAUUUGUUUGGUAUAAUAUGGUAUAUUAAGUUCACUUAUUGUAACCACUAAAAAAUAAAUUUAAAAACCUAUAGGUGUGAAACACACAAAAUUUUAUUUUUAA